rnacentral:tRNA from 1 species
AAGAUUUUAAGUUAAUUAAACUAUUAACGUUCAAAGUUAAAAUUACUUUUUUUUAGUAAAUCUUA